CAACAGUUUCACUGAUCUCUGUCUCC
rnacentral:piRNA from 1 species